rnacentral:misc_RNA from 1 species
CCAUUUUAAUAACAUAAAAUCAAUGUUGGGCAACACAACCAAACUGAAAAUUCUCAACUGAAGGCUCUUAAUAAAACAACAAAAUGUAUUUUGAAUUAAAAGCAAUUUGAGUCUUAACUGGUUACGAAAAGUUGAUUUCAAAUAUGAGAAGAAACAUAGAAAGUGAACUUGCAUGCUACUACAUCUCUCUGUUUCUCUAGUUCAGUGGAUUGACAUUUGUGAUGGACUCCAAGUAAGCAGCACAGGUUUAUGAAUCGGUGACUUGAGACAAGACAUCUGUUUAUUUCUGCAACUGUUGCAGCAUUGCUGGCCUUGGGAUAAGAUAUGAAAAAUGACAAUGUUUCAGACAAAAAAGCUUUAAUACCAUAACAUUCUUUAGCUCUUGCAGUUCUUGUUCAAAUUUGAACAUGUCACCGUGAUUGUCAAUGACUCUUGUCACCCUAUCAGUGUCUCACUGCCUGUUGAAUGCAAAUCCAAGCAAAAAAUGGAAAAGUGUCAUGCGCAAGUAUUAAUUAGAAUAAUGUUUUUUUUAUUAACUUUGACUAGAAAAGGCAGAAGCACAACUCAGAUAUUUUGACAGAUAAAAACUGGCUCCAUAUAGCCAUUUCCACAAAACCAGUUAAUGGUCAGUGCAAUUUCAUUACCCCAUACCCAUACUUAAAGCAGCAUGAGUUUCUUCAACAGAAGCCAAUGUACAUUGUGAGAUCUGAAACCUAUGAUACUACAUUUUAUGCACGUAAGCAGAAACAUGGAAAAACUCAUGAAAUUUGUUAAUUUGCCAUCCAUUGAGAGACCAUAUAUCCACAUCAUUUUGUUUCUGCUACAAUUUCAUGGAGACCUAGGUCCACUAAAGUCUCUUUGCCAAAGAGUGUAAAUCCCACAGUUGCCUUUCCGGUCUUGCGAUUUAUUUUCGUCAGGCUGCCUUCAAAUUCUGCAAAAGUCCCAGAUAUGACCCGAACAGUUGAACCUGCAGUCAGGCGCUUGCUGGUCUUUUUUCUAGGUGAACCAUUUACAAGAUGGUCAGAAAUUUUUGUGGAUCCCCCUGUGGGCUUGGAAUCUGUAACUGAUUUUGCGAUAUCAUUGCCAACUAUCUUCCCUGAAUUCAUCACUUCCUCUCCUAGCUGCUGUUCCGUAAAAGCUUGGUCAGAUUUUUCUUGUUCCUCUUUUGCCUGUUGGAAGAUUUCUUCCAUGUCCUCAACAGACACUGGCCGAGGCCUGUUGAUUUGUCUUUUCAUAUUUCCAACCCUUGAACCAACAAAGCCACCAACUCCAUCGCACUCUCUUAUGAAGUCAUGUAACUCUUUGUUUAAUACACACCAUAGAAAAACACAUCCUGGAAAAAUCAGCUUUGGUUUAACUGAGUAAGUACCAUUUUUCAGUUUUGUCUUAACCUUGACAGAUGGAGCAUAAACCUUAAAUUCCAUUUCAGGAUAUUUCCUGGCCAGCAAGCGAGCUAUGAGCUCGGCGGUCUCGUCGCCUCUGACGCGAGAAACUCGAACAACCCACCACUGAGGGCCCAAAUCGGCCAGGUUAUCAAGGUUGAGGUCUUCCGACCCAGAAGUUCGCUUCUUCUUGGGCUUCUUGAUAAGCCUCUCUUCGACUUCUUCUCUCCAGUUGUAGCCGGCUUUGCUUUCUCUUCUUUCAUGCCUUAGUUGCCUUCUCUCUCUAGCUGUUAGCUCAUGUAUCUGGUUAUUAGUGGAGUCGAGAGUUGCUGUGAUUGAUGAAGAGGCGCGUUUUGUUCUAAGGAUUGGGAGGGAAAUGGAGGGGAGCGAGGACGGAGAGAGAGCGUGAUGGCAAGGACUCCACAGAAGAAGCCCCUGCUUCAUCUUUCAGUGUUGAUGAAGUUGCUGUGAAUCUGAUGUUGCUUUUGGAAGAAGUCCCGGUUGGCUUAUUUUUUU